rnacentral:misc_RNA from 1 species
GCUAAUUAUGCCACACUCGCCCUCAUUUGGUGGGUGCCGUAUGGCAAUCAAGACAUAUGGCCGACAAAAUUUAUGGGACUUAAAAGGGUUGGCUUGCGCGGCCGACCCUCCUAGCAACUUACAAUUUUCCUAAUCCUAGCAUGUCAUUCACACUCUGUUCUGUUUGGAAAAUAAAAGAGAGAAAAUAAUUUUCUUUCUAUUGGAUAAGGAGAAAAUAAAGGGAAAAAUGAAUUUAUUUUCUAUUUUUGGUAAGAGAACGAGUGGAACCCUUAUUUUAUAAAUUGUACUUUUAUUAUAUGGUAACAAAUCCAUAAAUAAUAAUAAAAUUAAACUUGUUAAAUAAUAAUAAUAUCCACCCAAACCAUCGAUGUACUUUUUCCUUAGCAAAAU